rnacentral:lncRNA from 1 species
CAUAUGUGAAGUACUGUCUAAUCUUUAUCAAUAAAAAAUGGUUCUUCAAUUCAGAAAAAAAAUAGAUUUUCCUAGUAUAUAAAGUAAACAAACUUGAAUGUCUAUAGGGAACAUUUAAAAUUGCAAACAUAUGUGUGUUUAGAAGCAGUUUCGUAGGGGACAAAAGUCCCCUACGAAACAGUACUCAAAUUAUGAAAAAAAUAUCAUUUUAAGGAGUAUUUAAGAUUGCAGUUUUUGUUUACAAACAGGUC